AAGGACAGCUGAGGACCACUCUC
rnacentral:siRNA from 1 species